UAGAGGAAAAGUUAAAGGAUGGUCGCUAACUUCAUCUACACAAUUUAUUGAUGCCUUAUUUGAGAAAGGCCCUUUCCUGAAAGAGACUUUGGACAUUUAUGAUUAGGAAGCACUCUCUACCCCUCCAUAAAAUUGGAACCAGUGUGCUUGCUAUUGUACUGCAUGCUUCUAGAAAAUUUACCCGAAGAAGAAACUGAGCCAGAAGUACAUAGGAACCUUUACCACCUGUUAAUCCAUGAAGUAUAUUUCCAAUAUAAUCACCAAUUUUACAUGGAAACUACUGGAGUUCCAAUAGGAGGUCCGCUAGCCGGAAUUCUGGCAGAGUUAGUAGUGAGGAAGAAAGAAAUAGAAGUAUUUCAGAACUCAUCCCAAAAGUGAAAUUAUUUUGAAGAUCUAUCAAUGAC
rnacentral:lncRNA from 1 species